CAGCUAACUGCCCUGGACGUGACGCCCUCUCAGGCGCUAACCAGGCAGGAGUGUUUGAAAUGCACAGACUCUCUUCGGCGUCAGGCCGCUGGGCACCGGAAACCCCUCAUCUCACUGGCUGGCUGAAGUCGCAGCAAACCCAGUUCCCCUGAUGCUCUCAAUUGGCAGGACAACCCAUUUCUAAAGCCAUCCUCCUACACCUAUAUAUGCUGUUACCUUCCUGAUUACUUCCUACAGCUGGAGGACCCUACUUUCAGACAGUUUAGGACCCAUGUUCCUCCAGACAGACCCCACCAUAGCCACCUCCACUGAACUGUGUGUGAACUGAUGAAGAAUGAGAGACUCCACUGAAGAGCAGGAUUUGAAAUGCUCUAGUGACCACUGUGUGCUAGGCAGUAUCACAAAGCCACAAACUGCUGUUUUUGCAGAGUAUUGGACUGUAUGUGCGACUAGCAGCUCCAGACAAUUCAUGGAAAUGUUGUUGUGUCCAACGUGAUGGUCGCAAUCUAUCCUUGUAAAUGCUUGUUUGCAUCAUUCCAAAAACCUCAAAAACCCAAAG